rnacentral:rRNA from 1 species
GAUGAACGCUGGCGGCGUGCCUAAUACAUGCAAGUCGAGCGAACAGAUGAGGAGCUUGCUCCUCUGACGUUAGCGUCGGACGGGUGAGUAACACGUGGAUAACCUACUUAUAAGACUGGGAUAACUUCGGGAAACCGGAGCUAAUACCGGAUAAUAUAUUGAACCGCAUGGUUCAAUAGUGAAAGACGGUUUUGCUGUCACUUAUAGAUGGAUCCGCGCCGCAUUAGCUAGUUGGUAAGGUAACGGCUUACCAAGGCAACGAUGCGUAGCCGACCUGAGAGGGUGAUCGGCCACACUGGAACUGAGACACGGUCCAGACUCCUACGGGAGGCAGCAGUAGGGAAUCUUCCGCAAUGGGCGAAAGCCUGACGGAGCAACGCCGCGUGAGUGAUGAAGGUCUUCGGAUCGUAAAACUCUGUUAUUAGGGAAGAACAAAUGUGUAAGUAACUAUGCACGUCUUGACGGUACCUAAUCAGAAAGCCACGGCUAACUACGUG